rnacentral:rRNA from 1 species
AUGAAGGAACUAGGUCUUCGGGAGGAGGAUCUAGAUGACGUGGUGUUUGAUGAAAAAGAAGCACCGGUAGAGGCGGCGCGGUGGAUUGCUCUCGCUAGGGUUCACUCGCCAAAGACCUAUAGCCAAUAUUGGUUUUUCAAAAACAUGAGGGCCACUUGGGAUCUUGCUCAGGAGGUACAGUUCAAGCCUUUGGAAGAUAAUCUAUACACGGUGCAGUUCUCUUGCUUGGGUGAUUGGGAGAGAGUCACACGUGAUGGUCCAUGGCACUUUCGAGGGGAUGAUGUUAUUAUCAAACCAUAUGAUGGAUUGGCUAAACCAUCAAGGGUUUUGCUGGAUACAAUUGAGAUUUGGUUGCAGAUCCAUGAUGUACCACCCUUAUACGCUCAUCUUGUGCCAUCUUUAGCAGCAAAAGUCGGAGAGGUCCUAUAUGCCGAGCCACAGCACAAGAUUUCACGGGCAAUUUCCAUCGUGUAUGGAUCAGGAUCAAUGUCAACAAGUCGCUAA